UAGGGAAUCUUCCACAAUGGAUGCAAGUCUGAUGGAGCAACGCCGCGUGAGUGAAGAAGGUUUUCGGAUCGUAAAGCUCUGUUGUUGGUGAAGAAGGAUAGAGGCAGUAACUGGUCUUUAUUUGACGGUAAUCAACCAGAAAGUCACGGCUAACUACGUGCCAGCAGCCGCGGUAAUACGUAGGUGGCAAGCGUUGUCCGGAUUUAUUGGGCGUAAAGCGAGCGCAGGCGGAAUGAUAAGUCUGAUGUGAAAGCCCACGGCUCAACCGUGGAACUGCAUCGGAAACUGUCAUUCUUGAGUGCAGAAGAGGAGAGUGGAAUUCCAUGUGUAGCGGUGGAAUGCGUAGAUAUAUGGAAGAACACCAGUGGCGAAGGCGGCUCUCUGGUCUGCAACUGACGCUGAGGCUCGAAAGCAUGGGUAGCGAACAGG
rnacentral:rRNA from 1 species